GCCCAAUAAGUCGCACGUGCCCGUAGCCGCUGGACGAUCAACAACACCAGCAGCCAAAAGCAACGACGGUGAGGGCUUUU
rnacentral:sRNA from 1 species